GAUGAAGAACGUAGCGAAAUGCGAUACUUGGUGUGAAUUGCAGAAUCCCGUGAACCAUCGAGUCUUUGAACGCAAGUUGCGCCCGAAGCCACUAGGCCGAGGGCACGCCUGCCUGGGCGUCACACGUCGUUGCCCCCCCCCCAUCUACUCCUUCGGGAUUGCGGGGGGCGGAUGAUGGCCUCCCGUGCGCCUAGCCGCGCGGUUGGCAUAAAUACCAAGUCCUCGGCGACGCACGCCACGACAAUCGGUGGUUGCGAAACCUCGGUUGCCCGUCGUGUGCGUUCGUCGCGCAUCGAGGGCUCGAAAAAAUGCUCGGCUCCGGCUCGGCUUUCAACGCGACCCCAGGUCAGGCGGGGUUACCCGCUGAGUUUAAGCAUAUCAAUAAGCGGAGGA
rnacentral:misc_RNA from 1 species